rnacentral:rRNA from 1 species
UACAGAGGUCCCAAGCGUUGUUCGGAUUUACUGGGCGUAAAGCGCGCGCAGGUGGGUGAACAAGUCGGAAGUGAAAUCUUGAGGCUCAACCUCGAGGCUGCUCCCGAAACUGUUCGCCUAGGGACUGGUAGAGGCUGGUAGAAUUCCCGGUGUAGCGGUGGAAUGCGUAGAGAUCGGGAAGAAUACCUGUGGCGAAGGCGGCCAGCUGGGCCAGAUCCGACACUGAGGCGCGAAAGCGUGGGGAGCAAACAGG